ACAAGCGUGGUAGCAACUCACGCCACGACCUGCCCCCCGUUCUCUGCCUCUGCCACGAUUCGCAAUACAGAUCACGGCCGCGGCGACCAGCAGAAAUCGGUAUCCGAAGCGGGCGAGCCAAACCAGCGCAAACCCCAAAUCCCCAAUCCGAGCUGCCCUCUCCCCCCUGAGAUGGCGGCGGUCUGGAUGGCGUUGGCGGUGAUGCUGGUCGCUGCUGCUCAGGUGGCGGUGGCUGCCCCGGUGACGGCGCCGGCCUUCCUCUGGGCGCCCAAGAACUACGGACUCAGUCCCAAUGAGGUUAAAGAAGUAGUCCACUAUCAGACAAUCUCCCCAAAGAGCUUAGCUGAUUCUGUUCUUGAGGAAGGUGGCUGGUCAAACCUGGUGUGUUCAAAGGAUGGUCCUCAAAAGAAUGUCGAUGUUGCAGUCCUUUUUCUUGGAUCAAAGCUACAAUCAUCAGACAUCUCUAAAGAUAAACAAGUCGAUCCAGCUUUAGCGGACAUACUAAAGCUAUCCUUCUCAAGCUCCGAGUUUUCCAUGGCAUUCCCUUAUGUGGCCAUGUCAGACGACGAAGCAUUUUGGAGAACUCAUUGCUAUCUGGAUUUACUGAGAAUUGUGAGGAUGGUUCUGGAGGAAAUCAUAUCACGUACACAGACACGUGUACUGCAAGCAGUGAAAGUGUGAAGAAACAUCUGAACAUGGAUUCUGUUCAAGACUUGGUGAAGUCACGGAUGGGAAACAACCCAAGUGGACCAACUGAGCUAAUUGUCUUCUGCAGCGGUGGUUUCAAGGAUAAUGCAAAAACAGAAGGACAGUUGCUUUUGGAUCUGGUUUCUGUUCUUGACAAGUCUGGGGCAAAAUACACAGUUCUUUACGCUUCUCAACCCUAUGGUUUGCUGGAGAAUCCUUCGGACCUGCCAUUAGCCAGGUAUCUUGCAGAGAAGACCAAUACAACUAAACCUGUCCUAGAGAAAUGCGAUGGAGAGUGCCAAUUAAAAUCAACUCUCCUGGAAGGAGUUUUUGUGGGUGUAGUGCUGCUUAUCAUCUUGAUAUCAGGACUUUGCUGCAUGAUGGGGAUCGAUACUCCAUCAAGGUUUGAGGCUCCCCAGGAUUAACCUUGGUCUGAUUUUGAAGCAAACCCGAUGUGGAUGGCCAGUGUUUGUUACCCUGCGCAGUGGAUAUAGUUAGCUUCCUUUUCAAAGGUGCCUUGCUUGUGUAUUUUCUAAGCCAAACUUCAGCCUAGUGACCAAUUUUUUGGUGUAUUAUUAUUGCAUUCUAAACCCACGGAGAUUUGAGCCUUUGCAAACUACUACAUGCGCAAGGCUAAUGUUGUACUAUCAAACCAGAACUGUUUCCAGUUUUCUCUGUGAAUAGGCUGGAAUUCAGGAAGCCAAUAAUAAGAUGGCACUACUGUCCAUCUAAUAAAAUCUAGUUAUUUUUUUAGUAGUCA